GGAGACGUCGCCUAGUCCGGUCUAUGGCGCCUCACUGCUAAUGAGGUUUGGGGCAACCCAUCGGGAGUUCAAAUCUCCCCGUCUCCG
rnacentral:tRNA from 1 species